CCUAAAGUGGCAGACACAAUGCCCAAAGCUUAAGCCCUUGUUAUAGAGAAUUUAUCUCUCUUUAGA
rnacentral:tRNA from 1 species